UGUGGGCACUGGUUUGGUACCUGUUUUCUGACGGCACCAAUGUCCUACACUUAUCGUGGGCACUCGGCACUGGUAUGGUAGAAGAAGAGACUUGGCGGGUGUGGUUUCUCUCUCUGUCUCCAGGGGAAGUAGAGUCGAUUCUGCUCGCCGCAGUCCAACCUUUUUAGUUCUUGCUGCCACGUCGCGUCGCACUCCUAAAGCAGCUGAUGGGUUUCAAGAGCCACCAUCUACACCGUUAUCCACUUCGUGGGUACCUAGGGUAGAAGAGGUCUUGGUUAUCGGUCUAUGGAAGUGUAGUGGGCAGUUAGCUGUACCUAGAACAACUUCUGCUCUUGCUGUCGUCUGGUCGCUGCGGCGGCACGGCGGCUGGUACGACCCUCUGCUACCUACCUAUUCUGCCGUCUCUUUGUCUUGAUCGUUAAGAAAGACCCGUGGUUAUCUUCCUAUAGCUUCACGAUAUCUCGCACGUUAACUUCUUCGUAGUUUUGAACCCUUUGUCAACAAAAGCUUGGUCGAUAACUGAAUUAGUUACUUUACCGUUCAGAAAACGGAAACAAGGUUUUUUUUUUAUAGGCUCGUCCUCCGCAUAGUCAAGAUGUUGCGUAUAAAUACCACCGAACCUAAGUCGUAGUUCGCCCCUUUGUUUAUACAGUUACUGAGUUUUAUGUUUAGUUUCGUCGUUCAAAGCUUCACCGAAAAAAACCUUUUCAAAGCUUCACCGAAUAAAUCCAGUUAUUUUAUAUAUAGCGACCCAACGAUUCUAUAGGUGCUAUCAGCCUCUUUCAUCGUGGGUCCACUAGUUUCGAAUGUAUCUAAUGGUCUUGUUUGCAUGGAAUGCCUCAUGUGCGAAUACACGCACGGGAGUAAUCGGGGGGACUAUGAUGGUAAGUAGUGUUACGUCAGAGGUAAGGAAACACAACACG
rnacentral:rRNA from 1 species